GGCUUUAUCGCUGGAAAAUGGAGUUUGUGAAACAAAGAAGUAAUAGAUGCAUAGCAAGAGCUCAGUGUCCUUCCACAUUGUGUCACCGGUUGUACCCUGAGACAGAUUCUCCAAGUCUUAGAACAUGGAUAUGCAGUGAGAGUGAGGUUUACGUAGAAAAGUCUUUGUGUCUUGGGAGUGCCAUGUGUAUUGAAUGUCUAUGACUCAUGUCUCCCCUUGACUCACUUCUUGGCUGGGCUACAUGACUCAUCAGGCCUGGUAGGUUCAGGGCAGUGUAGCUGGUGGGGAAGGGCUAAGUGAAGAGGGGCUGUCUAGACCUGGGGAGCAUGGUUAUAAUGAGCUUUUUCAAACGUACAACUCAACUCUCUUGCACCUAGGAAGUAUCUUCAUCCAGAAGGAGUUCUCAGUCCUUUUUCUGAUUUUAACACUGCAGUCAACUGCAGACAAAGCCGCAAUCUUGUGACUUCACAGAGCCUCAUGGGCUUUUGAGUUGACCAACUUGAGAAAAAUUUCUGACUUGAUGCAUGAAAUGAAACGAAGGCAGGUGACACAUAAAGGAAAUGACAAGACACGAUUGAAAACUAUUGACCCUCAAGUUAUCACAAAUGGUUAUGAAAUGGAAAUGGAAUGGGAAGGAGUAUGAAAAAAUAAGCUGAAUACUGACAAACCUAAGGUACCCCAAAGUCUAUGGAAACUCCAAUUUAACGAGGGGAUGAAUAAGAAAUUUACUUCUCAACAAACAACAAAUAAUGGUUUAUAACCAUGGAAGCAUUCUGAGAGAAGUAAAUAUGUCAUCGAUUUUAAAUAGCAGUGUUAUCCAGCAGAGAGCAGAUCAAUGAAAGUUGCAUAGGUUUUCACAUGCUUCAGGAUAUUAAAGAACAAUCCCAUUUCCCCCCUCUAUAAACCAUUCCAUCCAGAAGAGUAAUUUUAAAUGUGCUAUAAAUCAUUAUCUGUUCAACAACCAAUCUGCAUUCAGAAAAGUUAUAUCCAUUCCUAUUCUUCUUCCUUGGAACAAUUUAAAAUGCUCUCAUUUUUUGCUAACCUGUAGGCCUGCUUUGGGUCUUCUGACUGGAUAUGUGGUAAAAAAAAAAUAAGUUAUUUCUCAAAUUUAAUAUAACAAAUACUAGGAGAGAAAACUGAUGUAUUUUCUUUAGAAAAAGUACUCAAUGAUUAUCAGUUGGGCAAUGUUUAUUACAGCCUUGUAAAUGGGUCGAUAAGAUUUAUUGCUGUUUCAAAGAUAGAGUGAACAAUAUCUAGAUAAUUACAAAGAUUUGC
rnacentral:lncRNA from 10 species